rnacentral:rRNA from 1 species
UACGUAGGGGGCAAGCGUUGUCCGGAAUCAUUGGGCGUAAAGAGCGUGUAGGCGGCUCGAUAAGUCUGCUGUGAAAGUCCAGGGCUCAACCCUGGAAGGCCGGUGGAAACUGUCGGGCUAGAGUCCGGAAGAGGCGAGUGGAAUUCCUGGUGUAGCGGUGAAAUGCGCAGAUAUCAGGAGGAACACCUAUUGCGAAGGCAGCUCGCUGGGACGUAACUGACGCUGAGACGCGAAAGCGUGGGGAGCAAACAGG